CUCUCUUACGAGGCCUACUGCCACAAACAGGAAGUAGCUCUUACAACAAAAAGGAAACAGUCGGGUACAUCAAGGAGAAGAUCAGUGAGAAUCCCUCUCCAGAGAAAUCCAUCAAUCUGUUCCACUGUCUGAAUGAACUGAACGAUGAUUCUCUAGUGCAGGAAGUCCAAAAAUACCUGAAUAGAGAAGGUUCUGUUCAUCCGUCUGUCUCCUGCUCAGUGGUCAGCUCUGGUGUUUGUGUUGCUUAACUCGGAUCAGGACCUGGAUGAGUUUGAUGUAAGGAAACAUUAUCCAUCACAUGAAGGUCUUCUGAAGAUCCUGCCAGCGGUGAAAGAAUCGAGAAAAGCUAAGAGGAACUGCUUGAUCUCCGGAGUCUAAAGGGGACAACUACUGGAAAGGAUGUUUUUGAAGCUGUGUCAGAUGCAAUUGACCAGGGUGGACUUAAAUGGGACAAACUGUGUGGAAUAACAACGGAUGGGGCUCCAGUAAUGACAGGCAAGUGCAAAGGAAUGGCAUCUAUGGCAUGCGCCAAGGUGCGGGAGAGCGGAGGUGAGGCUGUCAAAAUGCACUGCAUCAUCCACCAAGAAGCCCUCUGUGCCAAGACAGUCCAGCUUGGCGAUGUGAUGAACACAGUUAUAAAAACUGUCAACAUAAUUUGGCACGAGGGCUCUACCACAGAGAAUUUUAAGCAUUACUCUCUGAUGUCGAUGCUGAAUACGGGGAUCUACUCUACCAUUCUGAAGUGCGCUGGCUCAGUCGUGGCUUCGUGAUGCAGCGGAUUUAUUCCCUGAGAUCAAAUAUCGACAAGUUUUUGAAAAGGGCAAGAAAAGGGCAGACCUCUGUAUGAGCUCAGUGACCCUUUAUGGUUGGCAGCAGACCUGGCUUGUUUAGUUGAUCUUACUGAUCACUGAACACCCUGAACAAGAAACUAUAAGACAAAGAGCAGCUGGUACCACAGCUGUAUGAGCACUUGAAAGCAUUCCGUGCGAAGCUCCGUCUCUUUGAGUCACAACUGCGCAACUUCAAUGUAGCGCACUUCCCCGCGCUGAACGAAAUCAAAUGCGCAUUUCCAAAGGCCAACCUCUCUGCUAAAAUGGGAGAAUAUGUGUCUGUGAUCACAUCUUUCAUUACAGAAUUUAGUCGGCGCUUUCAAGAUUUUGCUGUCAUUGAGAAGGAAAUCACACUGUUUGUGGCUCCAUUUUCAGUGGAUGCAGAAGAAGUGGAGGAGAGUCUGCAAUUAGAACUGAUCGAAAUGCAGUGUGAUGAUUCUCUGAAGAAUCAACAUCAGCUACCUGACUUCUACCAGAGCUUGGAAAAGGCCAAGUUUGCUCUGAUGAGACACCACGCAAAACAAAUGAUGAGUCUGUUCGGCUCAACAUACAUCUGUGAGCAGACAUUCUCUCUGUUAACGCUGAACAAAUGCAGAUUGAGAACCAGAAUGACCGACAGCCAUCUCUGUGACGUCCUUCGCAUCUCAACCACUAAACUUACUCCUGACCUGCCAGCUGUCCUACUGACCAAAGCGCAGCAUCACUGCUCCCACUGAGCGCAACAUUCUUCCCAUUACAGGACACUGAAGAGGGAUCAGCACCCUAAGAAACAAUCUGAGGCUGUCACUGAGAGAAUGACCGGUCAACCUUUUUGUAAAAAAAUUUAAUGAUAAUCUACUAAUGGAGAGCUGUGAUGGUGAUGUUCAAUUAUCAAAUGUAAUUUACCUGCAUUUGAUUGAUUUUGCCAAUAUUCAUGCAUUAGAAGUGCGACAGUAUACCUCACGUCUAGUGAGUGGCCCAGUCCUUUUUUUUCUGUAUGCGGCCCUCAGGAAAAAAAGUUUGGACACCCCUGCCCUAACCCUACCCCUAACCCUAGCUCUAACCCUAGCCCUAACCCUACCUCUAACCCUAGCUCUAACCCUAGGGUUAAAUAUUGUUGGUUUAUUGUUUGUUUUUCUUUUAAUCUUUUUUAUUAUUAUUUUUUUUUUCCUUUUAUUUUCCUAUACAACUGGACAAUAAUGUAUUGAUGAUCUCUAAGUGAUAGGAAGCCCUUAUAGGAUGCUCCGCCCUUCAUUUGUGAGAGUGCUCCACCCCAAACGCUCUUCAAAGAAGAAAGGAGCACCAUAGAAUCGCAAGCCAACAGUCCUCUGAUGAAGCAAUAACUUUUGCGAAACGUCAGGAUACAGAGGAUAUAGUAAACCACAAAUGGUGAAGUUUUUAUAGAUAUUUUUUAGAGAGAAUCUUUAAUAAAGGAUUGCUGCUUCCAACCGGUUGGGAACAAGGAUAACUCUUUUUCAUGGCUGGCACAUGACAAUGGACUGCUUUUCUUUUCUCUUUUUACUAAUCAUCUUUGCUGUAAAGGCUUUUAAGAGACUGCAUCUGGGAUUGUUUUUAAAGAGUGAGUACUCACAGAAGAUCUUCCUUCCUUGAUAAAAAAGAACUAAAGCUGCUUGAUUAGAGUCUCCAGCUGGUCUCCCUACAGAUCCUAGUGAAAGUGGUCAUAUGAGUUUGGGAAGAUUCUCAACAAGAAAAAGGUGCUAAACGCCUUCAUCUGGAGACAUGGCAAUCCACUGCAGGACCUCAGUCCUCUCAGGUUCAGGGUCGACCCCAGGGAUCCGGUCCAUUGGACGAGAGAGACGGCCGUACAGAUUUUUAACUUCUGGCUGGACCAGUUAAACUUUUAAACUCGGAAAAGCAAGGGCAUAGGACACAGAAGAGAUGUCCUGCAACAUACAUCAGCACUUGACUGUGACACACAAGGUCUCAGACCCGAAGGACAGAAAGAUUCUUCUGAGCCAGCACUCCAACAGGUAAUUCUUUCUCCGAUAGAGCUUUCUAACAUGAUGUGCUUCACAGAAAGCUUUCUGCAUCAAGAUACAGCGGACCUCUAAACUGCCCCAUGUGCCCAGCAAGAGAGCUGACUCACCUUGAUCAGCAUUUAGUAAAAUUCCACAAACCGCAGGCCACUGAAAUGAAGGAAAGAAUAAAAGCAGCAAAGAAAAUGUGCAUUAACAAAAAAUUGGCUAAUUAUCACAAACAGCAGGCAACUGGCAGCAUAACAGAGGUCACUAUGCUGAAGGAGAUAAUCAGAAAGAAACAAAGGAAAAUUUAUUUUCUAAGGGCUCAGCUAAAAGGGCAAAAAAUAAAGAGCUUAAAUAACAGAGGAUCUCAGGACUUCUCCAGUGUUGGGGAAAGAUCUGUUCAUUUCAGUCAGCCAAAUGACAAAAAAAGUGGAGGCAAAAGAAAGAAAAUACAACCAUCCUCACCUCAUUCUUCCAGUGAUGCUGAAACACAAUGCUGCCCCAAACAAGCUGUGGAAAAACCUGGAAAACAAAGAGCCACCUCGCCAUCAGCAGAUACUUCCAGUGAUGAUGACACAUCUUCCAGCUUCAGAGACUCUGUAGAAAGACCUGUACAGCAAGGAAUAAAAAAAAGAAAAUGUGUUUCAUCCUCACCAGAUUAUUCCAGUGAUGAUGAAACCUUUACUCGACUCAAAACUCCUGCACAGCACCCUGGAAGAAAAGGAAAGUUCACAUGAACAAUCUUUUCGACAUGUUCACAUCAGCCAAUCCAUUAUGAAGUUGGUCUUUUCCACACUGUCCAUGGAGCUCAAGUCACUGAGCAAACAAAUAGCUGUUCAUCAAGAGACUGUGCACGAGGAAAAAAAACGAGCGGCUGAUAAGCUUAGAUGACUUACAAAAAUUCAGAGAGGAAGCAAUGAAUACCAUUCCAAAUAUUUUGGAUGGCUUAAAAGCUGCACCUGACAACAUCAGCCUCCGGCAACUCGUGAUUGGGUUUUUGGCAGUUUAUGCAGGUUGCAUUUCAGGGCACCGUUCCUGCGUCUUUGCGAACAUGACCUCUAAAGACAUCGUCAGCUAAACUGGAAGAUAUGGAAGAGCACAAAUUGCCCUCACUAAAUCUGAGUUUGACUGGUUUAAAGACUUUGCCGAUCUACACCCACAGAUGCCACGCUACAGGGACAGCUGUGACACCCUUUUUUUUUUACCAGAACGGGGUCUGAAAUCCGAAAGAUUUCCAAUUUUGUUUCCUUGGCUUGGGUCUAUGCAGGGUUACGAAGGGACACAAACAUGACAGACAUACGGUCAUCUGUAGCCACCCACGGGAGUAAUAGUCUUGUGUUUACUUCACGUCAUCAUUUAUUUUGCUGUGUUAUAAUGUCAAUCUUGUGCACAGGCUAAAAAUAAUUUAACUCAAGAGGAGCGUGAGAAAGUUGUUGAAGCAAUGUGCCACAGCUUGAAAACAUCUGACAAAUUCUAUGUGGCCAGCUCGAGCCCGGCACACACUGUUAACGUUUGCUCGCUAGUGAGUAAAGCCUGUGAAGUCAACAUUCAGGAAGGAGAAGAGCCAGGCCAUGGAGACACUGAAGACACGGAGUACUGCAGGUACAACCAGAUUCAAAACCAGGUAAACGGUGAUAAUCAGAGGAGGAUCAGUGAGGAGCAGACCCACACCCAGCAGAUUCUGUCCAACAAAGGAUCUGAGGGAGAAGAGCUCAUGGAAGAAUCACAUGAGAGUUCUGAGACAGAAGAGUCAGGUGUUUGGCCUCCUGAAAGUGAAGAUGAGCUGAUGCAGCUGGUAUUCCUAAAACAAUAAACGACACUUCAACAUCAGUGGUGAUUUCUCUAAGACUGCAAGUGUAGCAGACUUGAACAGGUCGGACAGCUCAGGACACCAACCACACAGAGUCAGAAACUGGAAUCUUCACCAUUUAUUCUGAACAUGACAUGGGAGCACAAUUAGCGCGUACACACACACACACAGGUGCACACUCUCUCUCUCCCGUAUCAGCAUUCACCAUGCAACUGUGUAACUUUUUAUAUAUGUAUACAGUAUAUAUUAUAACCAUACCUAUGAAAUUUUAAACAUAUAGUACAAUAAGAAAUAUGUAAAUAUUAUAAUAUAUAGAUAUGUAUAUAUUAACAUUUUAUAAACAAAAACAACAAUAUAAAAAAAACAAAUUGCAUGUAAAUAAACAUACAUGACAUAUUACAAAUAAAAUCCGUACAAAUUAAUAACAUUAAACAGUAAAACCACAUUAAACAUACCUGAACAUGACAUGGGAGCACAAUUAGCGCGUACACACACACAGGUGCACACUCUCUCUCCCUGCACGAGGCAGAAAAAUAAACUCAUAUUAAACACAAAAAUCACGAUUAAAAUCACCACCUACACUUCGAAUUUAGUAAAAAAAAAAAAAAAACUUCAAAUCAAUCACAGUGCUUUAAUAGUAUAUUUUUAAACAAAAUUUUACAAUCUAUAGAGCUCUAGAAACAACGUCACGCAGCUUACCCGUAUCAGCAUUCACCUUGCGACUGUAAUUACAAAUUAAUUAAAAAAUACUAUUGCCACACAAGGAAAGCUCAGCUUUCCCUAAAAUGUCAAAAAUGAAAUGGUCAAAUAUGUACAGUUGUGUUAACAUUUCAUUGACUACAAAUGCGUUAGAACACGUUCAUCUUGAAGACGAGUUUGUUCAGAAUCAGCUACUUAUCACAAAUCGACUGACUCGAACUUCUCAUACAUUCCUGUAGCCUCAAUGCAUUUGCCCGCAGAAGCUGAGCGUCUCUUCACUUCGACAUGGGACCGUGUCCGUGGAGCUGGCCCCCCAUGUGGUCAGAAAUGGAAUAUAGAUAUUAUUAUUCGUUUGUGCUGCGUUUGUGCCGUAGGAAUCAUCGUUUGUGCUGGCACUGUUUUAGAGAAAUUAAGUAUUAUAUUUUAUUACCCGUGACGUCACCAGACCCCCAUCAAAGGCCAAAUUGCACCAAAAGCAUCUCAUUCGUUUGUGCUACGUUUGUGCUGGUUUGUGCUGCUGAAAGAAAUAUGUGUGCUAUUUUAAUUCUCAAGUUAUAGGCUAAAUCAUGUAUUUUUUAUAAA